AUUGAACGCUGGCGGCAGGCCUAACACAUGCAAGUCGAGCGGAUGAAGGGAGCUUGCUCCUGGAUUCAGCGGCGGACGGGUGAGUAAUGCCUAGGAAUCUGCCUGGUAGUGGGGGAUAACGUCCGGAAACGGGCGCUAAUACCGCAUACGUCCUGAGGGAGAAAGUGGGGGAUCUUCGGACCUCACGCUAUCAGAUGAGCCUAGGUCGGAUUAGCUAGUUGGUGGGGUAAAGGCCUACCAAGGCGACGAUCCGUAACUGGUCUGAGAGGAUGAUCAGUCACACUGGAACUGGGCCACGGUCCAGACUCCUACGGGAGGCAGCAGUGGGGAAUAUUGGACAGUGGGCGAAAGCCUGAUCCAGCCAUGCCGCGUGUGUGAAGAAGGUCUUCGGAUUGUAAAGCACUUUAAGUUGGGAGGAAGGGCAGUAAGUUAAUACCUUGCUGUUUUGACGUUACCAACAGAAUAAGCACCGGCUAACUUCGUG
rnacentral:rRNA from 1 species